rnacentral:lncRNA from 1 species
UGGAAUCGAAUCCCACUUGCGUAGCUAUGUGAGCUUUAUUCUGAUCUACGCAUUUCCCCCGCAAUUGUUUCUUGUUGUAUUGGUGUUAUCCCAAUAUAUGCAGUUUUUCCUUGUCCCCCAACCGAGUCUUUCCAUUGAUUUAUUGUCAUGCAAAUCCCCCUCGUGUCUCCCAGCUGUUUUUUUAAGUCGUAGCCUGGCCUACGCAUAACUUUGUAACCCCUAGAGUCUCUGCCCCCCAAGUGAGUUUUCCUUAUGAAAUGC